UCCCUGUGCCGAAACAGAGAGUAACAGCCUGCUCAGAAGGAAAACAUACUCUGGAUAUGGAAACACUGGAAUACUGCAGACCAAAUGAAAAUGCUUAUUAAAAAGCAGGGGAUAGCUUCCAAUAUAGAGAGCACUGGAACCUGUUGCUGAUGUAUGAAGAUCCCCCUUCUCCUGCCUCCAACUUUGGCACUUUUUUCUGAACCUCUUGUUGAUACCUGGAAGGGAAAGAAGAGAAAGGGAGGGAUCCCUGGGACUCAAGCAACCCUUGCUGUGUAAUCGGAUCGCUGGUUCAGUGCCCUGCAGGAGCCUUGCAGUGUUAUGUGCAGCCCUCCUGCUGCCCAGGGAGCGUGGUGGAUCAUCUGCCUCCCCAGGCAGGGCAGAGGGACAGGGACCCGUCCCUCCGAGGCUGUGCUCUGCAGGAGAGCUGGGAGAUGAUGCUGGCUGAAGGCCAGGCAGCAGAGGUAAGCAAGCUGCUUGGCUGCAGCACCCGUUCAACAAGGCAAAGCAAAACCUCUUGAUUUAUGUAUGUAGAAAUGUUUCUAAAGAAAACUCAUUGAGGUCGUGGGGUUUUCUGAUGGAUGAGACUCCAGUUUGCAAUGUUCUCUAACGACACUUGCCCAUGACUCAUAUUUGAUUUGCUUUUUCUUUACGCACAUCUCCCACUGUGCUACACCUUGCUGUUUUCUGGUCUGUACCAGCCCUGGCCACACCAGGAGAGACCGCUUACAAGCCCUGCUUUGCAAAUCCAGAAUCAUUUUAAGAUUCAGCCAUACCUGAAUUCCUUUUCCCUCUUCAUCUAAUUUGCAAAGCUUCACAGAUAACUUUUGUAGCUGGAGGCUUGCACAGACACCCAGCACCAUUCUAACUGCACCCUAAUAAUAGAUGUCUAAAAGACUCAGAAUAAACAGUCUCUUCAUCUUAUAGACUGAUAGAGUAAGAUCUGCCUUUAAGCUACCUCCUUUAAGUGAGUGAAAUCCUGUGGAUCUCCAUGAAUUUGCGUAAAUAUAAAACUCAGGCAUCACUGUGUAUGAAUCUAAUUAAGCAAAGGCUAUUUCUGCACAUAUCAUUUGUGAACAGUGGUUGUGUUCAAGUGAAAUGUGAAAUGUGGAUUCACUUUAAUCCCAACUUUGCCCCUAGUGAGGAGCAAAGCUCAUAGGGCUGCCCACAGAUUCUGGUUUUAUUCCCUAAGCUGUGGUAUUAAAGCCAUGACAGAUUGGGAUAGCUGACAACCACUGAGUUCGCCUGAGUAGAUGAGGAAUGCUGACUUUCCCUCCCAGGCCCACUGGGUACCAAAUGUGAUUAAAGGCAACUCAAGAAGGACUGUGUGCUAUUAAUUCUAUAGAGGAGAUCUCUUGUGUUAUUCAUUACAUGUAUACAGCUUAUUCUAGGAGGAGGGAAAAUGGAAAAGCACCUUUGGUUUUAUUGUAACAUCUGAAUACAGCCAGCUCUUUUUCUCUGUGUCCCACUUAUUAUGUGCAAUUUGUAUGUUUUCUUCUCCAUCCUCAGA